CCUACGGGAGGCAGCAGUGGGGAAUAUUGCACAAUGGGCGCAAGCCUGAUGCAGCGACGCCGCGUGAGGGAUGACGGCCUUCGGGUUGUAAACCUCUUUCAGUAGGGAAGAAGCGAAAGUGACGGUACCUGCAGAAGAAGCGCCGGCUAACUACGUGCCAGCAGCCGCGGUAAUACGUAGGGCGCAAGCGUUAUCCGGAAUUAUUGGGCGUAAAGAGCUCGUAGGCGGUUUGUCGCGUCUGCCGUGAAAGUCCGGGGCUCAACUCCGGAUCUGCGGUGGGUACGGGCAGACUAGAGUGAUGUAGGGGAGACUGGAAUUCCUGGUGUAGCGGUGAAAUGCGCAGAUAUCAGGAGGAACACCGAUGGCGAAGGCAGGUCUCUGGGCAUUAACUGACGCUGAGGAGCGAAAGCAUGGGGAGCGAACAGGAUUAGAUACCCUGGUAGUCCAUGCCGUAAACGUUGGGCACUAGGUGUGGGGGACAUUCCACGUUUUCCGCGCCGUAGCUAACGCAUUAAGUGCCCGCCUGGGGAGGUACGGCCGCGAGACGUAAACGUACGAAGAAGUUAGUACGGCGUUGAGACGNGCCGAGGACGACGACGAGGGAGGAGG
rnacentral:rRNA from 1 species